UCUCUUCCUCCUCCUCUGGCCAUGUAAGACGUGUCUGCUUCGCCGUUGCCUUCCACCAUGAUUGUGAGUUUCAUGAGGCCUUCCUUAGCCAUGCUUCCUGUAUAGUCUGUGAAACGCUUUGAGGGCCCGUGUUGCGAGCAGGAAGAAAAGGAAAGUAGCACUGAGGAACGGAUGGUGCCUGCAGCAGAGAGACAGCUUGGAUUCAUCAGAGAAAUGGCCCAAGAGCUGCAUCAGUCAUUAUUAAAUAGAAAUCAAUAAGUGAAGUCACAAAAUUACGGUAGCCUAAAGGGCACACGAAAGGCCAGUGAUCAUUGCCUCCAAUUAACAUUUGUUAAUACCAGAGGAAGAAAUGCCGCAGAGGAAGCUUCCAACGGCAGGCGAUUUCUCCAUCUCAGCCCAGUCCAAGUGCACAGAGAAGUAAGGAUUCCAGGGACCUUGGCGACCUUGGGAACAGGUGCCAGAAUGAGACUGAGAAACCCUGACCCAACCCUUCCUCCUGGAGAUUCCUCAUCCAUGAAAUUGUCAGGCUGGAAAUGUCUAUGAGACUCUGUGUCUAACCACCUAGAAAACCUUCAGUGUCCUUUGAUAGCAUUUGAUAGAAUUUGAUAGCAUUCAACAAAUACAUGAAAACGUCCAAUGUACCAGCCUCAGGGUAAGGGCACGUGAUGGUGAACACAACAGACCCUGUCCCUAAUCUCACAGAGCUUGUGGUCUGGUGGGGAGAUGGCUUCUGAGAAUACAAGUGUAGCAUAUGUGAGAAACGUGGAACUGAUCAACAAGA